CGUGACCCGAGGUAGUUCGGAUAAGCGGUAGAAAAUGAAGAACCGAGUGUCUGUCCUUGACCUGUUGGAGCUGGGAGGCAGUACUUUGAAGUUUUUAUCUCCAUCCUCUCUCACCAAAGCACGUGAUGGCCGGGCUGCUGGAUUCAG